rnacentral:rRNA from 1 species
CCUACGGGAGGCAGCAGUAGGGAAUUUUCGGCAAUGGGGGGAACCCUGACCGAGCAACGCCGCGUGAACGAAGAAGUUAUUCGUAAUGUAAAGUUCUUUUAACAGGGAAGAAAGAGAAAUUUGACGGUACCUUAAGAAUAAGCUCCGGCUAACUACGUGCCAGCAGCCGCGGUAAUACGUAGGGAGCGAGCGGUAUCCGGAAUUAUUGGGCGUAAAGGGUGCGUAGAUGGCAUAGUAAGUCUUUUGUAAAAAGGCUGGGCUCAACCCAGUAGGGCAAAAGAUACUGCAAAGCUCGAGUAUGACAGAGGCAAGUGGAACUACAUGGGUAGCGGUAAAAUGCGUAAAUAUAUUUAAGAACACCAGUGGCGAAGGCGGCUUGCUGGGUCGAUACUGACAUUGAGGCACGAAAGCGUGGGGAGCAAACAGGAUUAGAUACCCGGGUAGUC